rnacentral:lncRNA from 1 species
GCGGAGCCCCCGCCCGGCGCCCCCGGGUUCGAGCCCGCCCCCGGCACCCGCGCGUGGAGAGAGAGGAAAAGAGAGUGGGCUCCCGAUAAGAGGAUGAAUUCAGCCCUCCUUCCUCUUCUUUCACGUGUUCUCUUGCCCUUCCACCCUCCACCAUGGGAUGACACACCAAGAAGGCCUUCACCAGAUGUGGGCCCUUGACCUUGGACUUCCCAGCCUCCAGAACUAAGGAGAAACCAACUCCAAGUUCUUAUUGGAAUAUUUACAGGGUACUGGAGGGGCUCACAGUAUUAAGGAGAAGACUCCGGCAGCCUCUGAAAGAAAGAAAACUAGGGAAGCUCUGGAAACACCAAUAAACGACCUCUGUCUAGG